rnacentral:rRNA from 1 species
UUAAUAAAUUAUUAUUAUAUUUAUAUUUUUAUAUUUAACUUUUUUUUUUUUAGUAUUUUUGAAAUAAAUAUUUAUUAAUAACUGAAUAGGUUUAAUAUUUAAUAUAAAUAAAUAGUUUUUAUUACCUUUUGUAUCAGGGUAAAUUUAAUUUAUAAAUUAUUUUAAUUUCCCGAAAAUAAUUGAUUAAUUUAAAUAUUGUUUUAUUUGUGUUAAAAAUUUAAUUAAUUUUUUUUUGGUAAUAAAAAGUUAUUCGAUUUUUUUUAUAUCUGGUUAUUUAGGAAUUUAAUUUAAUUAAGGAAUUUUUAAUUUAAAUUUAUUUAUAAUUUAAAUUCUAAUUUUAUUAUGGAUAAGCAUAAUAUUUUUUUAAAAUAUAAUUUUUAUUAUUUUUAUAAAAUUUUAAAUUUUUUAUUUAGUUUUUAAUAAAAUAAAAUUUAUUUAUAUUAUUUUAUUUUUAUUUAUUUUUUUACUAAAUUUAUUUAUAAAAUUUAUUUAUAAAUUAAAUAAUGAUUUAAUUAGUAUAAUAUUUAUAUUAAGUGUAAUGAAUUCGACAAAAUUUUAUUUCAACUGUUUAUCAAAAACAUUUCUUUUAGUUUUUGUUAAAAGUAAAUUCUGCCCAAUGAUUUUUUAAAUGGCUGCAGUAUUUUGACUGUGCAAAGGUAGCAUAAUAAUUAGUUUAUUAAUUGUGAACUGGUAUGAAUGAGUAUAUGAAAGUAAUAUUUUAUUUAUUUAAAUGUUAAAAUUUUAUUUUUAAGUAAAAAAUCUUAAUUAUUAUUUUGGGACGAUAAGACCCUAUAGAAUUUUAUUAUUAUUUGAAUAUGAUUUUUUUAGAAUUUUUAAGAUUAAAUUUAAAUAAUUAUUUAAUUGGGGUGAUUAAUAAAUAUUUAAAUCUUUAUUUUAAUAUUUCAUUUUUAUUGUUUUAUUGAUCCAUUUUUUAUGAUUAAAAGAUAAAAUUACCUUAGGGAUAACAGCGUAAUUUUAAUGGUGAGUUCUUAUUUAUAUUAAAGUUUGCGACCUCGAUGUUGAAUUAAGAUAAAGAUAUGGGGUAGGUUCUUUGUAGUUAAGUCUGUUCGACUUUUAAAUUCUUACAUGAUUUGAGUUCAAACCGGUGUGAGCCAGGUUGGUUUCUAUCUAAAAUUAAUUAAUUUUGUUUAGUACGAAAGGACCAAUAAAAUCAAUUUAUUUUUUGUUAAAAAUUUUAAUAAUAUUA